GACGAACGCUGGCGGCGUGCUUAACACAUGCAAGUCGAACGAAGCGGCGGACGGGUGAGUAAUGCCUAGGAAUCUGCCUGGUAGUGGGGGAUAACGUCCGGAAACGGGCGCUAAUACCGCAUACUAUCAGAUGAGCCUAGGUCGGAUUAGCUAGUUGGUGGGGUAAAGGCCUACCAAGGCGACGAUCCGUAACUGGUCUGAGAGGAUGAUCAGUCACACUGGAACUGAGACGCGGUCCAGGAUCGUACGGGAGGCAGCAGUGGGGAAUAUUGGACAAGGGGCGAAAGCCUGAUCCAGCCAGGCAGCGUGUGUGAAGAAGGUCUUCGGAUUGUAAAGCACUUUAAGUUGGGAGGCGUUACCAACAGAAUAAGCACCGGCUAACUUCGUGCCAGCAGCCGCUGUAAUU
rnacentral:rRNA from 1 species